AUACGAAGGGGGCUAGCGUUGCUCGGAAUUACUGGGCGUAAAGGGCGCGUAGGCGGCUUGGCCAGUCAGGCGUGAAAUUCCUGGGCUCAACCUGGGGACUGCGCUUGAUACUGCUGAGCUUGAGGCCGAGAGAGGGUGGUGGAAUUCCCAGUGUAGAGGUGAAAUUCGUAGAUAUUGGGAAGAACACCGGUGGCGAAGGCGACCACCUGGCUCGGUACUGACGCUGAGGCGCGACAGCGUGGGGAGCAAACAGGAUUAGAUACCCUGGUAGUCCACGCCGUAAACGAUGUGUGCUGGAUGUUGGGGCUCCUAGAGUCUCAGUGUCGUAGCUAACGCGGUAAGCACACCGCCUGGGGAGUACGGCCGCAAGGUUGAA
rnacentral:rRNA from 1 species